UGGGGAAUAUUGGACAAUGGGGGCAACCCUGAUCCAGCAAUGCCGCGUGUGUGAAGAAGGUCUUCGGAUUGUAAAGCACUUUCGACGGGGACGAUGAUGACGGUACCCGUAGAAGAAGCCCCGGCUAACUUCGUGCCAGCAGCCGCGGUAAUACGAAGGGGGCUAGCGUUGCUCGGAAUGACUGGGCGUAAAGGGCGUGUAGGCGGUUUACACAGUCAGAUGUGAAAUCCCCGGGCUUAACCUGGGAGCUGCAUUUGAUACGUGUAGACUAGAGUGUGAGAGAGGGUUGUGGAAUUCCCAGUGUAGAGGUGAAAUUCGUAGAUAUUGGGAAGAACACCGGUGGCGAAGGCGGCAACCUGGCUCAUGACUGACGCUGAGGCGCGAAAGCGUGGGGAGCAAACAGGAUUAGAUACCCUGGUAGUCCACGCUGUAAAACGAUGUGUGCUAG
rnacentral:rRNA from 1 species